CAAAGGUGCAUUACUGUGGAGCUCAGUUCAGCUGUCCAUCAUAGGUCCACACCUUAAGACAAACAACCAGUCGUCUUUGAAGACUGGCCAUUAAAACUAAUCCUGCAUAUGAGCCUGGCUCAGGUGUGGAACGUGUAAACUCCUCCAGUGCCAGCUCUGCGGAGGUCUUACUCUCACGGGACAGCGCUUGGCUCUUCACCUCAGAACAGUGUUCCUCCAGCACAGUCAGACUCAACUCGGCCAGGGUCAGCCGCAAGUGCUGCAGCCUGUGCAAAGCUGACAUUCCACAGGUCUGGCACGAAAAGCAGAGUUCAGUGAAAGUACGGCCACAAUCUCUGAGUGUAUUAUAAAGAACCAUGAGCCUCUGGACGGUCUGGGGGGAGACGGUCUCUCCAGGUUGAGCCUCACCAAUGACACAGAGACAUUCAACAGCUCCUCUGCAGCAGAGGAAAAUGGGUUA